rnacentral:tRNA from 1 species
GUGGAGAUGGUUGAGUUGGCCUAAGGUGCUAGAUUUAGGUUCUAGUUUGAAAGGGCGUGGGUUCAAAUACCACUUUCCACA